ensembl:lncRNA
UUCCCUUCAAGCAGAAGUUGAAGCUGCAGUGCUAACAGGCACAAACCCCCACCAGUUUCCUGGGCCUUCUUCUGCAUUUUGCCAUGUCACUACAGAUAAGAUGCUCCAUAGGAACUGAAGAAUAGAACAACGCUUUGAUAGUCUUCACUGCCAAAGAAUCACCUGAGUUGGAAGAGACCUCUGAAGGCCAUCUGGUCCCACUCUCUGCAGUGCACAGGGCACCCACAGCUCCAUCACAGCUCACAGCCCAUCCCCUGACGUAAGCUGAGGAUAACAUAAGUGCCUACAGCAAGAAUUAUGAGAGAGGCAAAUAUUGUCUUAUCUGUACUACCGAUCUGUUAUCAUAGAAAUACUGCAAAUUAUUUAAAUGAGCACCUGUGAAACGUGUGAUGUGGGGUAAGAUUUGGGGUAGUGCAGGACUGUGCUCUGCCAGAGGGCUGCCGGGAUAGAUGGAGGCACAAUUAAUCUCACGGGUUCUGUGAGUCCAAAGAAAGACUUCUGGCUGCACCCCGACUGGCAGGAAGGCAGCCCAGGAGGAGCUGCAGCCCAAGGCUCUGUGCCUGCAUCUCCCACUGCCACGCAGAGCUGGC